AUGCCGGGGAAAAGAAGGAAGUGUAAAGUGAAAUACAAGAAGAGAGAUGUGGAAAAAACAAAACAAAACAAUGGUGAAAUGGCGUUAGAGUGUGAGCAGUCAGAAACUAGAAAAAUUGCAUUUGGAAGGGGAACCAAACUUGUUGUGAUGCACGAUGUUACUCCAUCUCCUUCAGUCUACAGGCUGACCACUAAAGAUGAUGAGGAUUUGGAAAUGUGCCUUAUCACAGAUUACUCUCCGGAAAAGCUUACUCUUAACUGGGCUAAGGGCCAGACAGAUGCUGUUGUGGAGGUGGCAACAUCCGACAACAAAGAGGAAGCAAGCUACCUGGCCACUUACUGGGCCAAGAAAGAUGAAAUGCAGUGCGGUGCAAAUCACGAGGGCUUUGGAGAACUGGAGGGCGAGGAUCCUGAAAGUGGUGCCAGGGCUGUCUGUGUUACAGGGGUAUCUCUACACUUCAGGACAGAUGAAAACCUGAACAUGCUGUCUUUAUCACAGCUGGGCCUGAAAAUAAUUUUAAUGAAAGGAAUAAUUUUCAAUGUGCUGAUGACAAUGGUUAUGUGGAAAAAAAA